rnacentral:lncRNA from 13 species
UGAAGUAUUCUAUUCUUCUUUUCAAACCUUUAAUAACUUUUUCUUUCUUACAGAAGAAGAGAAUUGUAUGAGAUCAGUCAGCAUCUGAUUGGAGACCGGACAAGAUUAACCCAGAAGGAACCUAAGAAGGAAGACAGGAGAAGGAUAGAGCUUUAUCUUGAAGCCAGAGGAGAAGAGCAUUUCAAAAUAGAAUGAUGAAGAAAGGAGUUCUGCCUCUUCCAAAGGAGUGACUCUCAAAGGAGCAGGAUCUGACCAUAGGUUAUGGCUUGUGUUACAACACACUGAUGAUGUCUUUGAGGCCAUCCACUGACGUCCUCAACCAUGGCAUUAGCAAGUUUUUCUGAAGGAGGAGAAGACCUGAACUUGACCUACAGUCUGGAACAAAGACACACAGACACUGAGACCCACAAAGACACCCAGACCCACAGACACUGAGAAAUGAAGCCUUAUUGUUUUAAGACUUUGAUAUUCUGGAAUUGACUGCUGCAUCAUUAUAGUAAAAGCUGACAAAUACAAUUCUAAUUUUUUAUUAAGUUCUUUUUAUUAAAAAAGUAUAUUGCCAUUGUAGAAAAAUUAGAAAAUACAGGAAAUUAAAAUGAAGAAAAGAAAUUGAGUAGAAAGACAGGCUCAAACAACAAUGAUGCAAUUACAUGUUUACUUACAAUUGUGAUAAGUUCUAUGAAGGGAAAAUCUGUAUUCUAAAAUCAUAUUAAUAUUUAAAAAGAGGGCAUAGGCUGGGUGUGGUGGCUCAUGCCUAUAAUCCCAGCCAAGGUGGGCAGAUCACCUGAGGUCAGGAGUUCAAGACCAGCUUGGCCAACAUGAUCAAACCCCGUCUCUACUGAAAACACAAAAAAUAGCUGGGUGUGGUGGCACACGCUUGUAAUCCCACUGCUUGGGAGGCUGAGACAGCAGAAUCAUUGAACCCAGGAGGCAGAGGUUGCAGUGAGCCAAGAGCAUGCCACUGCACUCUAGCCUGAGUGACAGAAUGAGACCACCUCAAAGAAAACAACGAAAAAAGAGGGCAUGAUAUAAUCUAGAGUCAGGAAAAUCUUUCCAAAAGAAAUAAUUUUACACAUAUCAUGUAUUAAAUACAUAUAAACUAUAAUGCUGCAUCUAUUAUAAUAAACAUAUACUUUUAUGUUACA